UACGUAGGGCGCAAGCGUUGUCCGGAAUUAUUGGGCGUAAAGAGCUCGUAGGCGGUUUGUCGCGUCUGCUGUGAAAUCCCGAGGCUCAACCUCGGGCUUGCAGUGGGUACGGGCAGACUAGAGUGCGGUAGGGGAGACUGGAAUUCCUGGUGUAGCGGUGGAAUGCGCAGAUAUCAGGAGGAACACCGAGUGGCGAAGGCAGGUCUCCUGGGCGAU
rnacentral:rRNA from 1 species